rnacentral:ribozyme from 12 species
AUGGGUGAGAUGGAAGUAAGAGACGGGAAGGGGAUCAUAAUCAUCGGCUUCCUUGUCUUUUCAUCAUGAAUGGCUUCUUCUUUUUCAUCUUUUUCAUCUUUUUCGUAUUUUUCAUCUUCUUCUUU